rnacentral:tRNA from 1 species
AGGCCAGUAGCUCUAACUGGUAGAGCGUCGGAUUCCAAAUCCGAGGGUUGCGGGUUCGAAUCCUGCCUGGCCUGCCA